GGUGGCUCAGUUGGUUAAGCAUCUGCCUUCAGCUCAGGUCAUGAUCUCAGGGUCAUAGAAUCAGGUCCCAGUUCAGCUCCUCACUCAGUGAUGAGUCACUUGAGAUUCUCUCCCUCUCUCUCAAAUAAACAAAUCUUUUU